UCAGGUUCGCGUAUUCGGUACGCGCCGCCGUGUGCCCGACGGCCCGCUGCUGCGGCUCGUUCGAGGUGAGCAGGUUCUGGAUCUGCUGCCCGAGC
rnacentral:tRNA from 1 species